rnacentral:rRNA from 1 species
GACGAACGCUGGCGGCGUGCUUAACACAUGCAAGUCGAACGAAGAGCGACGGAAGCUUGCUUCUAUCAAUCUUAGUGGCGAACGGGUGAGUAACGCGUAAUCAACCUGCCCUUCAGAGGGGGACAACAGUUGGAAACGACUGCUAAUACCGCAUACGAUCUAACCUCGGCAUCGAGGAUAGAUGAAAGGUGGCCUCUACAUGUAAGCUAUCACUGAAGGAGGGGAUUGCGUCUGAUUAGCUAGUUGGAGGGGUAACGGCCCACCAAGGCGAGGAUCAGUAGCCGGUCUGAGAGGAUGAACGGCCACAUUGGGACUGAGACACGGCCCAGACUCCUACGGGAGGCAGCAGUGGGGAAUCUUCCGCAAUGGACGAAAGUCUGACGGAGCAACGCCGCGGGAGUGAUGACGGCCUUCGGGUUGUAAAGCUCGGUUAAUCGGGACGAAAGGCCUUCUUGCGAAUAGUGAGAAGGAUUGACGGUACCGGAAGAGAAAGCCACGGCUAACUACGUG